rnacentral:rRNA from 1 species
CGGCGGACGGGUGAGUAAUGCCUAGGAAUCUGCCUGGUAGUGGGGGACAACGUUUCGAAAGGAACGCUAAUACCGCAUACGACCUACGGGUGAAAGCAGGGGAUCUUCGGACCUUGCGCGAUUGAAUGAGCCGAUGUCGGAUUAGCUAGUUGGCGGGGUAAAGGCCCACCAAGGCGACGAUCCGUAGCUGGUCUGAGAGGAUGAUCAGCCACACUGGAACUGAGACACGGUCCAGACUCCUACGGGAGGCAGCAGCG